rnacentral:rRNA from 1 species
CCCCGGCGCGCUUAACACAUGCAAGUCGAACGGCAGCACGGCCGGGUAACCGGUGGGUGGCGAGUGGCGGACGGGUUGAGUAAUGCGUAGGAAUCUGCCUUGUAGUGGGGGAUAACUCGGGGAAACUCGGGCUAAUACCGCAUACGCUCUACGGAGGAAAGCGGGGGAUCUUCGGACCUCGCGCUAUGAGAUGAGCCUACGUCCGAUUAGCUAGUUGGCAGGGUAAUGGCCUACCAAGGCGACAAUCGGUAGCUGGUCUGAGAGGACAAUCACCCACACUGGAACUGAAACACUGUCCACACUCCUACGGGAGGCAGCAGUGGGGAAUAUUGCACAAUGGGCGCNAGCCUGAUUAUCAGUGCCGCGUGUGUGAAAAGGCCUGCGGGUNAUACNACUUAACAGGAAA